GAAAGUCAGUCUUCAGAAAGGGGCCGAAUCUCUUGUGAGCCCUGAACUUAGGAAGGAACAGUUGUACUUUUGGACCGCAGACCUCACUGGGCAGGCAUCCUGAAUGGCGCCAGGUGAUCAGCGCUGCAUUCUCGCUGACAGGAAGAGAGUUUCCUCCCACCAUGAUAUUUCUGCUCUAGAGCCAGCCAACCACAGGCUGUGCCUUCUGAAACCAUGACCCAGAGAUCCAAAAGGAGUGAUGAUCACUACCCCUGCAAACAUGACUAAUACGGACUGAAUAAAGAAACUCCCAGAAAAAGAGCAGUCUGGGGGUAACGUAGCACACUGGCCAGAGCGUACAGUUCCGCAGAGCCCUCUCCACUCUUCCUCUCACCUAGUUUGACACAGCUGGUACGAAAGAACAACCAACAGCAGUCCCCAGCCAAAGCAUGUGCUAUUCCUGCUAUGGAUUAUAGAUCAACAUGGUGAAUUACAGGAAAAGAGUCAAGUUCAGAAACAGCAUUGCAAAGUGCCUCAAUCCGUACAAGCAUAUGACGAAUUUUACCCCCCAAAGACUAUCAACACCUAGGGAAAGAGAGAGACUUUUCCCCUGAAAUUCACAUAGAAUGCUUCAGGAGCUGGAAGCAGCAAUGAGAAAAACAAAAGUUAAAGAAAUAUAUAUCAUUUACAUAGAUAUAUUUUACUAAACUAAAUUACUAUCUCGGAGGAUGACACAUAAUAGUGAUAGGAAAAUACAAGCAAAUGU